CACGUAGGGGACGAGCGUUGUCCGGAUUCAUUGGGCGUAAAGCGCGCGUAGGCGGCUCGGAAAGUCGGGCGUGAAAUGCCGGGGCUCAACUGGGCGGGGUCAGCGGAUACGGUCGAGCUUGAGCAAGCUAGGGGGCAAUGGAAUUCCCGGUGUAGUGGUGGAAUGCGUAGAUAUCGGGAGGAAUACCAGUGGCGAAAGCGGCACCCUGGCGUCGUACUGACGCACAUGUGCGAAAGCGUGGGGAGCGAACGGG
rnacentral:rRNA from 1 species